ensembl:lncRNA
AUGCGCACUGCGGCUGGCCCGCUCUCCGAGGAGCUUUGGAUACUUUGGGGUCAAGUUUGAGGCAGUUGUAAGUGUACUAAGUUUAGUUUUGCUAAUAAUGGUAUUCUACGUGUGUCAGCCUCGUAUGGACUUCUGUAAUGACUAAUGGAUAUGUUUUUGCCCUGAGCAUUUGCUCUAGGACUUUUAAAUGAAAUCCCCAAACUCAAGAUUACCUUAUUUGGAGAAAUUAUUAGUGUUAUUAUGUUUAAAAUGUAAUAGAUAGAGCGAUAUUUUACCUUUCACUUUGGGACUCGCACAGGAUGUUUGCAGCUUUUGAUACACACGAGUGGAGAAGGAGCAGUUUUUCCAUUUCCCUGGAAAGAAUUGAGUGAAGUUGACAGCAGGAUUGCAGAAGUGGGAGCACCCAAGAAGCAGUACACUAAUGUCAUCUGGGGGAAAAUGAAGCAAUUAUAUUAAAACAUAAUCCUCAAAGAAGUCUGUAACACCGGAACUAAGGAGUUCUUCAGGAAACUGUGUCCUGAGGCAGGAGUAAACAGUACCUGUCAUACAGUAUAUAGUUUAAAAGAAAAAAUCUAAAAGAAUCAGGAUCUUUUUUUAAUCACUCCCCUAGGCAAGUACAGACAACUAUAAACAGGAACAAAGUAGAGAAUACAACUGAGGUCAUUUAAAAGUCUUUCGUCAUGUCAUGAAGUGACAUCUGUAUGAUUGAAAUAAACCAGACGGCUACUUGUGCUGUGACCACUUCAGGUUAUCUUAAUAAAAUGAGAUUGCAAAGGGGUCUUUCAGUACCAGGUAUGCCCGACGACCUUGAUUGUAGAGAACUGGCUGACCCAGCUCAACUUCUCAAUUACUGUCUCAGCUGGCUUUUAAAUUUUUCUUGCCAAAUUUUGUUUCAGUUUGAGUAAUCUUUGAUCAUUUACAAUAUACCGUUUAAAGUGUUCCUAUCGGACAGGAAAAUAUGUUUUGGGAACACCUUUCUCACCUCACGCUCUCUUUGGUGAUUGGUAAGGAAAGGAAGAAAGCAAGCAAUUUGAACAUGGACUCUCUCUGUUCCAGAUUGAGGGGGUGUGAAACUCAGAAGAAAGGAGAUGAAAGCCUAAGAUGCUGUGUUUUCUCACCAGCAUGCAUAGUGAAAUGCACAGAACACCAUUGUUUACAGUAUCUCUGGGCUGUGAAGCCGCCGUGAUUGCAGCUGGCUGGGGCAGACUGAAGGGUAGCAUCACCAGAAAACCAGCUCAUUUUAGAAAAACACAAAUCCGUUUCACUGCCUGUGGACAAAAUUACUGACUGACAUGCUAAACCUAUUAAAUAUGUAUUUUGCAAAUUUUGAAAUGAGGAAAAAUGCUACAUAAAAAUUUUUACAGAUGCUGAAUGAUUGUAAAUGUGGUUAGAGAUGUGGGACUUGCUCCAACUUUGUUCUUUCGUGGAUUGCUAUUAGCUUACAUUUGAAAUCUCUGUUGGCCACGUAUUUCACAUUGUUCUUCCAAAUGUAAUCAUUUCUCUCUUUUAUCUGAUCUCCUACAGUCUCUCUGUUUUCAUCAAUAUCUGACAGCAAUUCCCAAAGAUCCAAUAUAGUCUACUCUAAUAUCCUUAUGUGUACUCUCUUCUCUCUUUGAAAUCUAAUACCUUAGCAGUGAAAUAAUUUAUUGUGCUUUAUUUAGACUUUUAUUUUUUGCAUGUGUUUUGAUAUUAUCCUUUUGAAAUGAGUUAUUUGGAAAUUUAAACCAACUGUUCACCAAAAGUUAUGAAAGCAUGAUUAAGAAUUUUUCUCUCUUUUUAAAUCCCCUUUAAACCUUCAUUUUUGUGUGUGUGCUAUGGCAAAUGCCACAACAUCCAUGGGUUUGGCAAUGAUGGGAAAAUGAAGAUGAAUACUUCUUCGAGCCCUAGCUAAUGGGUAAAGCCAUACAGAAGAUCCAAUGAGCCAGAAAAAUCAGUGACAUUUUAUUUUUCUCAGUAACCCUUAGUUUAUAUGGUUGUCAGAACCUGGUGAUGUUUAAUUCACUGAAUAUGACCUUCUGGUGAAACAACUAUGCCACCAAUGUACUUGCUAAUAAAUAAAUGAGAGCUAUGUUUUGGUUCCAAAUU